rnacentral:lncRNA from 1 species
GUGCCUGUGGCAGCGUGGGUGGGAUGAGGGCCACUGCCCAGAGGGCCCCUUCCUGUGGCCGUAUCUGCCCUCACCCACUCCGAGUGUACUUGGGGGAGGAGGGGACAAAGAGACUGUGCUUACCCUGAGCCCCCCUCCCCAUACUAUUAAAAAUAAAUAAAUCUUCAACAGAGAACUUUAGCGCCUUUAUCUCUGACCCAGGCCACAGCUGGAGCAGAACACAAGUGAAAUAGAGUCGCUGUGGCUCUGAAAACCCCUGGCUGCCUUCCUGGGAUUGAGUCAUGUCUCCGCUUCAGGAAGGUGCCGUUAAUUUGGCGCACGAAAUGAACAAACACACGUACAGUGUGGUGCAGAACUCCCAAAGCGAACUGAGGACUUUUUGGGUUGUAUCCACACGCGCGUGGGCUAAAAGCAAAGAUUACAGAAGGUGUUGAUGGGCCUGGAGCUUGCAAACAUUCCUUUAGAGCAAUUAAAAGGCAGCUCUGCAGCUCCCUGGGCUGUCCGUCUUCUAAAAUGCCUUUUGUUGGAACGAGCAGGUUUGCCUUCAACCCAUUUGCUUUCGUUUGUGUGGAUGAAACACAGCAGGACUGAGUCUCGCUCACCCAGGGGAUGGAGAUGGAGCCUGGAAAUGCCUCCAGUAAAAGGGCCAAGGCUUUCUACACAUGCCCAGCUCCUAUAGGAGAACCUGCUGUUUCCCAGGAGUGUGAUAAACAUGGAUGACUGAUUGAAGGCACGAGCCAGGAACUUGUCAAAGGCACCCACACUCCCCUCUGCCGCUCACCUGUGGGGAGGACAAGGACUGCGGUAAGGAGAGGAAGAGGGGGGAGUCGUCCAGGAGAGAAAGGAAGGGCAGGGGCAUAGAUACGGAGGGAAACCGCAGGAAGUAGAGGCGGGGAAGUGAAGAUGAGAGGACACAGAGAGAGAUGGAAGAGUAAUUUCCAGGGGUGGAACUGGUAUCCCGGGCAGCGGCCUCUGGGGCAGGAGAAAAUCUCCCAUUCCUCUUGGGGCUGGCACCCCACUUUAUGGGGCCUGAAAACACAAAGGCAGCUGCCCUGGCAGAGAGAGGUGAACUUGAACCAGAGAGACCUGGAGCUGCCCAGCUGCCCUCUGGGAGCUGGUUCCCGUCCACUGCAUUAUUGACAGGGCUGACUUCCAUCCAGACAUCCGGGCCUCCUGUGUAACAAAUGUGUAUCACUUGCCCCUUAUCACCCAUUACCUCGCUAAAAUAAUUGUCUUAAUUUCAUUGUUGAAGUGAUUAAUAGGGCAAGAGUUAAAGGAAAUUAAUACUCAGCAGGAAGAAUGACUGUAGCCGAAAAAUAACUCCUCUGAAUCGGUCUGGUGGUAGAGUUAGGAAUCCUGAAGUUAAUGAGCCUUGGAGAGUUAGAUAUAGAAUGGUCUGGGAUAGUGGCCCUCUGUGAGCCACGGAGGGCCAAAUGGGGGAGGUGGAGACCAGGCAGAGAGGAGAGGGCCGUUCCCAUGUCUAUGGCCGCUUGUCUUGCUCCCCUGGAGGGAGGUUGGCCCCCAGACCACUCUAACCCCACGGUGCCCAGGGCACUGCCAGACACCUGCACAGUCAGGUGCUGGGAAUGAACUCCUGGCAAGGAGAAACCGCAGCAGCUCCUGCCCAGCGUGAUCCUAGACUGGGUGAACUCCCAGGGCAGCCCAGGACAGGCUGCUGC